rnacentral:pre_miRNA from 1 species
CAACUACUCCCUCUGUCCAAAAUUUCUUGUCUUAGAUUUGUCUAGAUACGGAUGUAUCUAAUACUAAAAUGUGACUUGAUACAUCCGUAUCUAGACAAAUCUAAGACAAGAAUUUUGGGACGGAAGGAGUACUUU